AACGAACGUUGGCGGCGUGCUUAACACAUGCAAGUCGAACGCGAAAGGGACUUCGGUCCUGAGUAGAGUGGCGCACGGGUGAGUAACGCGUAAGUAAUCUACCCUCGCAUCAGGAAUAACUAUGGGAAGCUGUAGCUAAUACCGGAUACGUUCUCCUAUUUACGGACUGGAGAAGAAAGAUGGCCUCUUCAUGAAAGCUAUCGUGCGGGGAGGAGCUUGCGUACCAUUAGCUAGUUGGUAGGGUAAUGGCCUACCAAGGCGACGAUGGUUAGCGGGUCUGAGAGGAUGAUCCGCCACACUGGAACUGAAACACGGACCAGACUCCUACGGGAGGCAGCAGUGAGGAAUAUUGCGCAAUGGGGGAAACCCUGACGCAGCGACGCCGCGUGGAUGAUGAAGGCCUUAGGGUCGUAAAAUCCUGUCAGGUGGGAAGAAGUGGUUAUAGAUUAAUACUCUAUUUCUUUGACGGUACCACCAAAGGAAGCACCGGCUAACUCCGU
rnacentral:rRNA from 1 species